GAUGCGACCGGCUCCGGACCGCGCCACCGCCAUGCGCACUCCGCAUUCUCCGCCGCUCCUGAACGGAGACAACCUGUCCGCUCCCACCUUGGACCCCAGCAACGGCAGCGAGCACCCCAACGCGUCGGACCCGUUCGCGCGCAACGAGCACGUGGCUCAGAUGGAGAUCCUGGCGCUGAGCGUCACCCUGGUGGUGGCGGUGAUCGGGAACGUCAGCGUGCUGCUGGCCGUGCGCAACACCAAGAGGAAGACGUCGCGCAUGCACCUCUUCAUCAAACACCUGAGCCUGGCGGACCUGGUGGUGGCCUUCUUCCAGGUGCUGCCGCAGCUCUGCUGGGAGGUCACCUUCCGCUUCUACGGUCCGGACUUUCUGUGCAGGAUCGUCAAGCACCUGCAGGUGACGGGCAUGUUCGCCUCCACCUACAUGAUGGUGAUGAUGACCGUGGACCGCUACAUCGCCAUCUGCCACCCGCUCAAGACGCUGCAGCAGCCCACGCAGCGCUCCUACAUCAUGAUCGUGUCCACGUGGCUCAGCAGUCUGGUCCUCAGCGUCCCGCAGUUCUUCAUCUUCUCCCUCAGCGAGAUCGAGCCCGACUCGGACGUGUACGACUGCUGGGCGCACUUCAUCGAGCCCUGGGGCGCCAGAGCCUACAUCACCUGGAUCACCGUGGGCAUCUUUCUGGUGCCGGUCCUGAUCCUCAUGACGUGCUACGGCUUCAUCUGCCACACGAUUUGGAAAAACAUCAAGUACAAGAAGAGCAGGAGCGCGCCGGCGGGGGCCGCCAGCAAAGGCGGGCUGAUCGGGAAGAACUCGGUCAACAGCGUCACCACCAUCUCCAGAGCCAAACUCAGGACCGUGAAGAUGACUUUCGUCAUCGUCCUGGCUUACGUCAUCUGCUGGGCGCCCUUCUUCACCGUGCAGAUGUGGUCCGUGUGGGACGAGAAGUUCCAGUGGGCAGACUCGGAGAACACAGCGGUGACUCUGUCGGCGCUGCUCGCCAGCCUCAACAGCUGCUGCAACCCCUGGAUCUACAUGAUCUUCAGCGGCCAUCUCCUCCAGGACUUCCUGCACUGCUUCUCCGUCUGCUACAAGAGCAACGCCGACUUCAAGAAGGAGGACUCGGACAGCAGCGUGCGCAGGACCACGCUGCUGACCCGGAUGACCAACCGCAGCCCCUCCAACAGCACCAGCAACUGGAGGGAGCUGGACAGUUCCGCCAAGUCCUCCCUCCAGGCAGAGUGAUGGCCGCAGCGCUCGGUGAAUGUCGGGAGACUGGAUCAAGUCCAGGAGAUGACGCAGAGCCACCCAACCUACCGGCUUCCUGUCGCAGAUAAAGUCCACACGGCAGGAGGCGAGGGAACAGCAGUCUCCGGGAAACCGAGGCAGCCACGUGGUGCUUCUGUGUGCUCUGCUGCUGAGACCGGCCGGGCGGGCGACUGAAGGCCCAAACAUCUGGAGCACGCUCAGAUGUUCCAUCACAGACCUGAUGAAUGUCCACGUCCUGCCCGAGAACACAUUUGGGUUCCUGACAUUCCAAAGACGUCGACUGGCUUCCUGGACACACAAACACUUCCCGCACGUCAAGAUCCAUUUUCUUGAUAUCGCUGUCUGUAAAUAAGAGUAAUAUAUGUGAACCUGAGCUGCACGUGUCGGCUUGUACGCAUUAAAUCAUACGGAAAUGUGAGAAUGUUCCGAGCACGGCUGCUUCUUCUGCUCGCUGCUCCACCACAGACGUCUCCCUGACUGUUUUGGAUUCAACCAGCAGAACUCUGGGAUCCAGUGGAACCUUUCAGUGCUGCGGCAACAACCAUCACAGAGGAGUCGCAAACUAUAGUCAGAUGAGUCGCUCUGUUGGAUUCACUUACACAUUUGCUAUAUUAUUUAUUAUUUAACUCACAAAGAAAACAGUUGUAUUAAAUCAUUCAUGCACUUCAUAACUGCUCUGAAAUUGUUUGAUCAUAUAAUCACACACUGCAAGUCAUUUAAGGGGUCACCUGGUUUUUUGGGGUUCUUUUAGAAUAAACUAAAAUGUUAACUUUAGCGUCAUUCUUAUAAUAACUUUAAAAGAUAUUUUUGUGUCAGAAAGGGACAAACUAGAUAAUAUUCACUGUACUUGUUCAUGCCUCAAAGUAAACUGCAGCUUGAAAAAAAACACACUAAAAACUAUAUAAAUAAUAAUGAUAAUAAAAGCGGGUCCCCUUUCACUUUCCCCAGCUGCUUUCCUGCACGGCAUGUAAAUGCAGAUCGCCACAGAUACAACAGGACACUUCCUCUUUAAGACCAAGCCUGUGAUGUGUGUGACCUCUCUACUCCACUGAAUGUUAUUACGACACAUCAGGUGAUAUGAAGUUUGUUAGUGUUUCACAAGAGAGUUUUGGACGGCGCCACGAUGAUGUCACCCAACAGAGCGGCGGUGAAGAAACGUGAAAUGUUUUCUGGUCCGACUGCAGAUGAAUAAAGCUUUGAAAGACGUUUGAGUCUGAAGUGACUCCACCAGCUGCGUCUCAGGUGUCGCGACCAGAGUCUCAUUAGACAGACGUGUCAGUCAUCGGGUGGGACCCGAUGCGAGUCUAGACUGAGGUUCUCCUGAGGGCUCAGGUUCUGCCGCUCAGACGGCAUCCAGCAGCGAGACCCGGACAGAGUCAGGCUCUUGUCUGUGUUCGUGAAAGUGAAGCCUGUUUUCAAAAGUAUUUCAAUAUUUGUGUGUCCUCUCAGCAGAGCUACAAGUGUGUGUGUGUGUUUAAGCAUGUCUAUCCUAGUGAGGUCCGAUUUCAGGGAUCUUAAUGUCUUUGUGGGGCCUUUUUGCUGGACCCCAUGAGGUUAAGCCUCAAUUUGAGGAUGAAAAAAUUCAAAAUAACUGGGUCAUUAUAACUGGGUUUCAGUUUAGCUCAGGUCCUGGCUGACGUUACUGUGUGUUUUACAAGGUUAGGUUUAGGGUGAGAGGCUGGGGAAAGGGUGAUAACAGUGAGAGAACGUGUGUGUGUGAAAUUGAACCGCUGUAUCUUCACAUUUUAUUUGUUUCUAUUUCAUCAAUUAAUCCUUUCCUCCUGAUAUUUAUCCACUUGACAUGUUUCCUGUCACUUUUCAUUCUUCAUAUUUUUACAGAUAAAUGCGGUUAUCCUGUGUUUUUGUUGCAUUUUUUUUUUUAAUUGACUGAAAGAUGAUAUUAUUGACUUGACAUCAAUAAUUUAAUAUUAACACGUAAUUCAAUAUAAAAUAUUACGGGUUUCAUUUUUUAUUUUAUGUAUAUUCAUAAAAAUCCUAUUUAAAAUGUAAUGUUCAAAAAGUGUUCAGAUUUAAU